rnacentral:rRNA from 1 species
GAUGAACGCUGGCGGCGUGCCUAAUACAUGCAAGUCGAGCGAACAGACGAGGAGCUUGCUCCUCUGACGUUAGCGGCGGACGGGUGAGUAACACGUGGAUAACCUACCUAUAAGACUGGGAUAACUUCGGGAAACCGGAGCUAAUACCGGAUAACAUGUUGAACCGCAUGGUUCAACAGUGAAAGACGGUCUUGCUGUCACUUAUAGAUGGAUCCGCGCCGCAUUAGCUAGUUGGUAAGGUAACGGCUUACCAAGGCAACGAUGCGUAGCCGACCUGAGAGGGUGAUCGGCCACACUGGAACUGAGACACGGUCCAGACUCCUACGGGAGACAGCAGUAGGGAAUCUUCCGCAAUGGGCGAAAGCCUGACGGAGCAACGCCGCGUGAGUGAAGAAGGUCUUCGGAUCGUAAAACUCUGUUAUUAGGGAAGAACAAAUGUGUAAGUAACUAUGCACGUCUUGACGGUACCUAAUCAGAAAGCCACGGCUAACUACGUG